rfam:Cyanobacterium endosymbiont of Epithemia turgida isolate EtSB Lake Yunoko DNA, complete genome.
CGGGAUGUAGCGCAGCUUGGUAGCGCGCCUGCUUUGGGAGCAGGAUGUCGCAGGUUCGAAUCCUGUCAUCCCGA